rnacentral:rRNA from 1 species
GACGAACGCUGGCGGCGUGCUUAACACAUGCAAGUCGAACGGAAAGGCCCUGCUUUUGUGGGGUGCUCGAGUGGCGAACGGGUGAGUAACACGUGAGUAACCUGCCCUUGACUUUGGGAUAACUUCAGGAAACUGGGGCUAAUACCGGAUAGGAGCUCCUGCUGCAUGGUGGGGGUUGGAAAGUUUCGGCCGUUGGGGAUGGACUCGCGGCUUAUCAGCUUGUUGGUGGGGUAGUGGCUUACCAAGGCUUUGACGGGUAGCCCGCCUGAGAGGGUGACCGGCCACAAUGCGACUGCGAGAGGGAGCAGACUCGUACGGGAGGCAGCAGUGGGGAAUAUUGCACAAUGGGGGGAAGCCUGAGGCAGCAACGCCGCGUGCGGGAUGACGGCUUUCGGGUUGUAAACCGCUGUCGCCUGUGACGAAGCGUGAGUGACGGUAAUGGGUAAAGAAGCACCGGCUAACUACGUG